CCUACGGGAGGCAGCAGUAGGGAAUCUUCCACAAUGGGCGAAAGCCUGAUGGAGCAACGCCGCGUGGGUGAAGAAGGUCUUCGGAUCGUAAAACCCUGUUGUUAGAGAAGAAAGUGCGUGAGAGUAACUGUUCACGUUUCGACGGUAUCUAACCAGAAAGCCACGGCUAACUACGUGCCAGCAGCCGCGGUAAGACGUAGGUGGCAAGCGUUAUCCGGAUUUAUUUGGCGUAAAGGGAACGCAGGCGGUCUUUUAAGUCUGAUGUGAAAGCCUUCGGCUUAACCGGAGUAGUGCAUUGGAAACUGGGAGACUUGAGUGCAGAAGAGGAGAGUGGAACUCCAUGUGUAGCGGUGAAAUGCGUAGAUAUAUGGAAGAACACCAGUGGCGAAAGCGGCUCUCUGGUCUGUAACUGACGCUGAGGUUCGAAAGCGUGGGUAGCAAACAGGAUUAGAUACCCUGGUAGUC
rnacentral:rRNA from 1 species